GACGAACGCUGGCGGCGUGCCUAAUACAUGCAAGUAGAACGCUGAAGGAGGAGCUUGCUUCUCUGGAUGAGUUGCGAACGGGUGAGUAACGCGUAGGUAACCUGCCUGGUAGCGGGGGAUAACUAUUGGAAACGAUAGCUAAUACCGCAUAAGAGUAGAUGUUGCAUGACAUUUGCUUAAAAGGUGCAAUUGCAUCACUACCAGAUGGACCUGCGUUGUAUUAGGUAGUUGGUGAGGUAACGGCUCACCAAGGGAACGAUACAUAGCCGACCUGAGAGGGGGAUCGGCCACACUGGGACUGAGAAACGGCCCAGACUUCUACGGGAGGCAGCAGUAGGGAAUCUUCGGCAAUGGACCGAAGUCUGACCGAGCAACGCCGCGUGAGUGAAGAAGGUUUUCGGAUCGGAAAGCUCUGUUGCAAGAGAAGAACGAGUGGGAGAGGGGAAAGUUCACACUGUGACGGUAUCUUACCAGAAAGGGACGGCUAACUACGUG
rnacentral:rRNA from 1 species